rnacentral:misc_RNA from 1 species
UCCGGUUUGUCACCGGCAGUCUCAUUAGAGUGCUCUUGCGUAGCAACUAAUGAUAAGGGUUGCGCUCGUUGCGGGACUUAACCCAAUAUCUCACGACACGAGCUGACGACAGCCAUGCAGCACCUGUGUUCAAGUUCUCUUGCGAGUACUUCCACAUCUCUGCGAAAUUCUUGACAUGUCAAGGGUAGGUAAGGUUUUUCGCGUUGCAUCGAAUUAAUCCACAUCAUCCACCGCUUGUGCGGGUCCCCGUCAAUUCCUUUGAGUUUUAAUCUUGCGACCGUACUCCCCAGGCGGUCUACUUCACGCGUUAGCUUCGUUACUAAGUAUUUUUAUAUACCCAACAACCAGUAGACAUCGUUUAGGGCGUGGACUAC